UCACUCUCACCUUUGUCAUAAUGCCAUCUCUGCCUGGUCUCCCAGUGUCAACCCUCACCUUCAACUAUCUGUUCCCUCCACAGCAGUCAGAGGAGUGCCAGAGUCAUACCAUAGCCCUUCUCUGCCCAGAAUCCUCCACGGCUCCCACCUCAUUCAGAGCAAAUGUCCAACUUUGCCAUCACCCGUGUCUUGGUCUCCUGGCUCUAACAUUGCACCCAUAGAGGCCAGAGGGUACCCAUGGACUCCUGCAUCAGAAGCUAACCCCACAAGUGUGGCGCCUGUUGUAUCUCCAGGGACUAGAACACUAUUGGGUAACUGCACAGUGUUUGCUGAAGGAAGUUAUGAAUGGAUUUGUUGAUAUUAAGUCACCUGUAUGCUUACCAAGAUAAAAAAAUUUAACCAGAACAACCCUUUCGAUUAAUAGAAAUCAC